CUUCCUGAAAGCAAAAACAAUAAAGAUCCUAGGCUGACAAAUAACACUUGUGACAGAUAUCCACGAUACGGCAGGUUUUUAAAGUUAUAUAUUAAAAGGUUAUAAACAUUGGGCAGCCACAUUCUUUAUAUAUACUCCCCCACCAUGCAAUAAACUUAUGUCCUAGUUGCGAACAACUAUAUUUAGAAAUUGCAUUUUUCAUUAUAAUACUGCAAAGAGAAGUAUUUACCUUAGCGUUUUGUUGAAUAAUAGUCACCUUAAAACCCUGUAUUUGCAUUAUUCCUGCUGAUUAACAGGAAGGAACAAUCUUCAUAACUUCACCUAGUUAAUCUAAGAAUUACUGGAUGUACAUACACAUUUUAAGUCAGGGUGCAAUAUACGGAUCCUGCAACAUAACAAUCCCAUUGCACUGAAGCGAUGUUUCAAGGUAACUUGAGGCAUUAUGCUUAAGUAACAUAAUAAACAAUUCUGCUGCUGUGCAAUGAUGUUAUUCACCAUGCUACUAAAUGCUACUAAUGAAGCAACUAUGUGGACAAUGUUGCAACUGAUACUUAAAACUGACAGCAGCAAAUGGUACUAGAAAAGAUAAGGAGCCCUACUCUACUUGACUAGCACAGGAUGUCAUUGUAGCAAUAUGGCUACAUACUUCAAGCAAUCACAGCUGUACUGAUCUUAUGACCCAGGAUAUUAUCUUCCAUGAUGAGCUCCAUUUGUAACAGGGUCUUGAGAAAGUGUCCCACCUGUGUCAAACUCCCUAAUCACCUUAUGAGCAGCAAACAUUUUCUUGGCUGUUGAACUGUGAUUGCAAUAUGUUUGAGAACCAGUUCCACAUAAACCUUAUCAAAGCAAAAAUGGUGGAAAAGAGCCACCUUGCAUGUGACAAAUGCAAAUCUUUGUUGUAGUUGAUGGCUUCUCCUUCCCUGUGAUAAGUGCAGAUACUCCUUAAUUUUUUAUUCCUAUCAACUCUCAAGUGUAUGUGUUUAAGACUGUGAUGGUAAAACCAAAUUUUAGCCCAAACACGUUUAAGCAUUCUAAACAUGCUUAAUCCACUACGUUAGGGUUUUGUUUUCAUGGCUACCAAAUAUCCUGCAGUUCUCACCAGGAAAUCUCAGUGCCUCUGCUUUCAGAAUAAUGAAUCAGAUGUGCUUUAAUAACCUAACAAGAUCAAGCUUUCACACUUCCUCUCAAAAAGGAUACACUUAUUCAUAAGAUUCUUCCCAGAACAGAUAGCAUAUUAAUUGAAUGACUAAUUUCCUAGCUUACAGAGCAUCUACAAACUGUGAGGAUUUUAAACUAGUGAUUGAAGUUCUCAAGGGGAAGUCACAUAUGCCAAUUUUUCUUACUGAAAGGAGUCCAAGGACCGAUGUAAAUGAUUAGUGCUACUUCAAAUGUAAGAAUGAGUAACAAAUCAGUAUUAUAUCUGAACUCUUUGUAUCCAUGUGAAAACACGACAGGGAUGCGAGUCCUUGGACUCUGAGUUGUCUUGGAUCUAGUUAUCAUUGAAGUGCUAAGCUUGUGACUCAGAUGUACUACCUUGGAGUGCAGGCGGGGGGGGGGGGGGAGAGCAAUCAUGUUAGUCUCUAUCUGCAAUUUAACUUGGUAUAUCCCAGACAGAGGCUUGCUUCCUCAGAAGGAAGUAGGCUCAGGUUAGUAGUCUGUCUGUCUCACAGGCAUCAUUUAUAUUAUAUUCCCUACUCCUGAAAUGUAGCAUGAGGUUACUUUCAUCAUAAAACCCUGCAUAUGAAAAACUAACCAGGAAGAAAGCUAAGGUGAAGUGUUCCAUAAGAAGACAACUCCUCAUCAACCCUUUGAGCUAGUUAGAAGCAGCACUUACUUGAAAAGAGCCAAGACUCCUCUAAAAAUGACUCCAUCAACAUGAACAUGGCAAACUGCCACUCCAAACCCACCCGGUGCCUUACGUCAGGCAUGUCCAACAGAAAGAACUGAAAAAGGGUUUCUUACAAAAGACUGUCUCCUGCUUUUACACCUACUACGUUGUAAAGAAAGAAAAUGAAGACAUGACAUGUGCUUAUUGAGGAAAUCAUAUACUCUUUUAUGUGAUGAAGUAACACACUGUCCUGAUAAUUCUGUGGAGCAUACUAAAUUACAAUUAAAGGCCUUUCUGCUCUA